rnacentral:lncRNA from 1 species
CACUUUAAGAGAGAUAUUCCAUCUAGAAUAAACAAAGACCCAUUUUGAAAACGCGUGAGCGCAGAAUCCUGCCCUGAUUACAAGAGUCCUUGCCAAAACACACUUCUUAAUCUUACAAAAAGUGAAAUACGAAAUGGGCAUCUUCUGAAGCAAGACGCAGUAAAUAAUUGGAAUUAUUAAAUGAAGAAAUAGACGCGUUUCACUUCUCCAAUCAACUCAACAAUUUGUCUGAUAUGAAAUUAAGAUUGUUUUUUGAGCAAGAGCUUACUUUUUAUCCUUAUCAAAAGCAUAAGAAGCUUCCAGUUUCAAAGCUUGUGUAUAUUGUGAGGUCAAAUAAAGUUUAGAUUGUUAAUGCAAAUCAUAAUGUCAUAGCUGAUUUGAAAGGUAGGAAGACCAUAAUUUGAACUAAAAAAGAUGAUUACGUAAAUUGGGAAAUUGAUUUCUUUUAAUGUCUCGUAUAACAAUAAGUUCAAUUUUGCAAAUUUAGCUUUCUUCACUAUCAAUAAGAAUGGAAGAAGGCUAAUACAUACAAUGGUCCUUUUUUUAAAGUGCUAUGUGGAUAGUAGAAUCAUAUGAUGAUUUUUAAAUUGAUUGAAUCAAGAGGUCAGAAAACAUAAUUUCAUAGUUAAAAGCUAAGGUCCCUCUUUUAAUGUGCAAGAAAAUAGGAAAUGCAUUAGAAGAAUAUUGUUUUAUUGAAGUCCUAUAUUUGUCCUAAGAACAUAAUAUCCAUGUAUAUCAAGAUACUUCAUUUUGUUCCUUGGCAUGUCUCCAAAUCAUGCCAAGUAUCAAAGAUAAUUUAUUGAACAUUCCCCCACAGCCAAACUGAGGUUGUAUGAUUACAAUCUCCCUGCUUCAACCUCCUAAAUUAUAUCCCAUUUCACGACAACUUGGACCUUGAAGCUAAGUGGGCUCCCUUUCCUUUUUUUUUUCAUACUUCAAGGCAUGGACAUCUCAAGCUAUCUGGACUAUAUGCAGAUUAAUAAAAAAGCGCGCCGUCUCUAAAACACAGGUUGUUUUUGAAAUUGAUUAAUCAUUGUUUUCAGGAGAGCUAUAGCUUCUGUAUUCCGAUCGUGACUGUUAAGUUUAAGGUGAUUGGAUGGAAGGGAGAGGGCUGUUCCAAGACAGAAAGUGGAUCUCAAAUUGAAUUAAAAAAUAUAGACAAUAUUAUUCAUUACUAAGAAUUCAAGACUCUGCAGCCCCAAUUUCGCGAAAUAUUACACAUUCUGCAGACCAAGGACAGGACAGUGGUCAUCAAUUUAAUCGGCAACUGAAACUAAGGAGACUGAAUAAGAAUGCUGUCCUUUCAAUGUGGCCAAACCUUCCGCUCUACCUAUUUUCUCCUCCGCCUCUUCCUAUACCUACCGGAGCAUCCACUAGUGACCUACGACUUCAGCUCGAAUACGAGUGUCAUGAAGCCUUGGAGCUCAAAAUGUUUGGGGAAAAAGAGGCGCUAACCGUUAACGAGGGUUAUGAUAAGUUGUUAAUUGAAACAUUACCGUCGGGAUUUAUACUAAUUAAAUACCCCAAAUUGACCCUUGUUAAUCUGGAAGCGACUGAAAACCUCGAUAUUAAGGCUAGCCUCGAAAUCCACGAAAACCUUACCUUUCGGAUUUUUCAUGGGCAUCAUACGCUAAGCAAUAUUUGAGUGUCCCACUCUCUUACCGCAAAGGCUAAUAUCAUCAAAUCAGUAACUGCAGUAAUCAACAUUGCUGCGUAUUUAGGACCAAAAGAGUUCUGGAAUAAUCAUGAUACUUAUGAAAUCAUCAUGGGCUUAUUGAACAAAAUACUUGCAUCCCCAGACUUGGAGCCAAUUCAUUGUUGAAGUAUUUCAUCAUAGAACAGAUGACAAUACUCUUCCGGAAACCCAAGAGAAGAAGAUUUUCAUCGAAACCACUGCUUUAUCACAAAUGAAGACAUUUUUACGAGCGGUCCCAUAUUAGUACUUACUUGAGAGUGGAUUCAGAAAUUUUCAGUGAGGAAGUCCCUAGAUACACCAAAAAUAGGAAGAUAAAUAGUUGGAAUAUCAUCGCAGAAAAAGUAAGUUUAUUUCUUAUAUUUUUAAUUAAUUAUAAUCAAGCACAG